AGAGUUUGAUCCUGGCUCAGAAUGAACGCUGGCGGCAGGCCUAACACAUGCAAGUCGAACGGGUCCUUCGGGACUAGUGGCGGACGGGUGAGUAACGCGUGGGAACAUACCCAAAGGUACGGAAUAGCCUCGGGAAACUGAGAGUAAUACCGUAUGUGCCCCCCCAAUCAAAUUUCAUUUGAUUGAAACUUUCAAUCUAUCAAAUCUCGAAUGAGAUUUGAUGGGGGGGGAAAGAUUUAUCGCCUUUGGAUUGGCCCGCGUUGGAUUAGGUAGUUGGUGGGGUAAUGGCCUACCAAGCCGACGAUCCAUAGCUGGUUUGAGAGGAUGAUCAGCCACACUGGGACUGAGACACGGCCCAGACUCCUACGGGAGGCAGCAGUGGGGAAUCUUAGACAAUGGGGGAAACCCYGAUCUAGCCAUGCCGCGUGAUCGAUGAAGGCCUUAGGGUUGUAAAGAUCUUUCAGAUGGGAAGAUAAUGACGGUACCAUCAGAAGAAGCCCCGGCUAACUCCGUGCCAGCAGCCGCGGUAAUACGGAGGGGGCUAGCGUUAUUCGGAAUUACUGGGCGUAAAGCGCACGUAGGCGGAUCAGAAAGUCAGAGGUGAAAUCCCAGGGCUCAACCUUGGAACUGCCUUUGAAACUCCUGGUCUUGAGGUCGAGAGAGGUGAGUGGAAUUCCSRGUGUARRGGUGAAAUYYGUAGAUAUYSGGAGGAACACCAGUGGCGAAGGCGGCUCWCUGGUCUMGAYMCUGACGCUGAKSUGYGAAAGCKWGGGGAGCAAACAGGAUUAGAUACCCUGGUAGUCC
rnacentral:rRNA from 1 species